UACUUUUUUCGUGUUCUUGACCUUGAUUCCAUGACAUUUAUGCCCGCGUGGCGAGGCUUUGAUAUCGAGAAUUGGGAGAUCAUGGGUUCUCACAUCUGCCCUGACAAAACUCACGUCGUGUACACCGGUUCUCAUGUAACUAGCGAAAUCGUCUACGCGGAUUUUAAUGGCAACCGUCUUCGUUCUAUUCAACCCGACGAGCAUCUCAACAUCCACAGUAUAAACUUCAGUGCCAACGGCAGAUAUAUCUACUAUAUGAGCGACGAAUCCAUCGCCUUUGUCAGCUCUUUCCACACUUCAGAUUAAGAUUACAAGAUGUGACAUAUUUUCACGGCAUCGUGCACCGCUCUUCGCGGCAGGAGAAAGAUCGUCUGGAACACACACAUUAUCUGACCCGCGCGCGCACCGUUGACAUGGUAACGGUGGUAACGAUUGCAGAUGACAACAACCUCAGGGUGUGGGCUCGAUCCCGGGACAAAAAGAGGACCACAGAUCGGCGGGCCAGGACGCUCGCGCCAAUAGAAAGGAUAGAGACGUGUUCCACUGGGCCACCAGGAUGCGUUGUUCGUGACCGGCAGUGCGGGAGAGGACUCGCCGAACAUAGUCGGCGUGUAUGAUGUCGGCAGACUGGAAUACCGCGCCAUCCGAGAACUUGUUAUACGACGGUUUUUAUUUCGCUCUUUGCUAAUUGUAUGUGUAUUGCUCCCAUUUGCUUCAAUGCAUUUCGACAACAUAUAAUGAUGACGUCUAUAUGAGCCCCGUUCUGUGAAAAGCAGGGUUCAUUCACGUGCGUAAAUUGUCGUCCCAGAUUAGCCUGUGCAGUCCACACAAGCUAAUCAGGAACGACACUUUCCACGUUUGUUGAAUUUUUUCGUUAGAAUAAAGUCUCUUUUAAACGAAAUUUCAGUGUGGAAACGGUCGUCCCUGAUUAGCCUCUGCGGACUGCACACUCUACGCAAUGCGUUAAGCCCAGUCUUUCCCAGAACGCGGCUCAUAUAAAUAAUCCAUUAAUUACAGUUUUGUUUUCAAAUAGUUUGUAUUGAGUUUCUUUUAUGUUAUAAUUCUUUCUACACUUAAAACGUCCAUAUUUUUGUAAAAUGUUGCAUUCCCCCUGAAAAUUAUUCGAUACUUAAGAUACGUUCAUGAUUAAUUUGAUUACAAAACAGUCCAAUUAAGUAAACUUUUCAAAAAAUAACAAAAUAUCGUGCGUCAUACUUGCAAGCGUUAUAUUCAUCAGUAGGUGGCCUGCAAUGCAAACAUGAGGUUUUACGAAGCAGACAACAGAUCAGUGGUCAUGGAAAUUUACGAUAAGUUUUACUUGUUUGACCUUGAAAAGAUGGACGUCAGCAUCGUGUUUCCGGGUCGAGUAGUCGAUACACGAGUGUGUAUCUUGACCAAACGGAAGCGUACGUACAAUUCUAAUUUACAUUUUACAAUUCAUGUGUGGAGGUGGCAGUAUUCACAACAUAGUUAUUAAAUAUUCCGGUCAUGGUGUGUCAUUACUAUUCCGCGUCACUAAGAAAUCAAAUUCAUGAUUUAAAGAUUUUGCUAACUGAACGAUUUGGGUCAGAACGUGUUAGAAACCGUUCCGCCCACUGUAUCUCUGUCAAUGACGUCAUUCUUCCAUUGUAAAACUCCUCGUGGCGUCACGUUUUGGCAAGAACGUGAAACGGUACAACAUCACAAACGGCUGCAUUGACGCCAUAAUAAAAACUGGACACAAGAAGGAGAUCUACCAAGUUGUGGUUAACGAUCCGGGAACGCUCGCUGCAGUGACGGUAGUUUUUGGACCUGUAUUGUUGAUGGACCUUGUCACUCACUCUCGCGUGUAUGAGAUCUCAAACAGUACGUUCAGGAGAUGCGAACGUAUCUUUACCUCUCAAAAUUAAACAUACGUUGGAAUUUCGCGGCAUAUAUCGUACAAUAUAUUUCAAUGUUAACGGCGUUUCUUUUUCUGUGUACGCAUUGCAUACUAGCAUAACAUAU